rnacentral:rRNA from 1 species
UACGAAGGGGGCUAGCGUUGUUCGGAAUUACUGGGCGUAAAGCGCACGUAGGCGGAUUGUUAAGUUAGGGGUGAAAUCCCAGGGCUCAACCCUGGAACUGCCUUUAAUACUGGCAAUCUCGAGUCCGAGAGAGGUGAGUGGAAUUCCGAGUGUAGAGGUGAAAUUCGUAGAUAUCGGGAGGAACACCGGUGGCGAAGGCGGCGAUCUGGGUCGAUACUGACGCUGAGGUGCGAAAGCGUGGGGAGCAAACAGG